GGGAGCUAAGGUGAGGCCGAAAGGCGUAGCCGAUGCACAGACGGUAGAGAUUCCGUCACCACCAAAAGAGUUAAGCACAGGGACACAUUUGAAGUCUCGGAGCCGGGUGUUGGUUCCGGUAGCGAUCGAGGGAAAUUAGUACCGAAGUCCGGGAUGGAAGAUGGCGAGAAAAGCUGUGUGUAUUUCUGCGGUGCCCGUACCGCAAACCGACACAGGUAGGUAGGAAGAAGAUUCUAAGGCCAACGGGAGAAGGGUUGUUAAGGAACUCGGCAAAUUGACCCCGUAACUUCGGGAGAAGGGGUGCUCCAGAGAUGGAGCCGCAGAGAAUCGGCCCAAGCAACUGUUUACCAAAAACACAGGUUUGUGCUAAAUCGAAAGAUGACGUAUACGAGCUGACGCCUGCCCGGUGCUGGAAGGUUAAGAGGAGAUGUGCAAGCAUUGAAUCGAAGCCCCAGUGAACGGCGGCCGUAACUAUAACGGUCCUAAGGUAGCGAAAUUCCUUGUCAGGUAAGUUCUGACCCGCACGAAAGGCGUAAUGAUUUGGGCACUGUCUCAACAGCCCGCCCGGCGAAAUUGUAGUACCGGUGAAGAUGCCGGUUACCCGCGACAAGACGGAAAGACCCCAUGGAGCUUUACUGUAGCCUAAUAUUGGGUUUCGAUGUUGCAUGCACAGGAUAGAUGGGACACUGGGAAACAAUCGCUUUGGCGGUUGCGGAGUGGCCGUUGGGAUACCAUCCUUGCGAUAUUGGAAUUCUAACCUGCGGCUCUGAAUCGAGUCGGGGGACAUUGUUAGGUGGGCAGUUUGACUGGGGCGGUCGCCUCCUAAAGAGUAACGGAGGCGUUCAAAGGUUCGCUCAGCUUGAACGGAAAUCAAGCAAAAGAGUGCAAACGCAGAAGCGAGCCUAACUGCGAGACUGACGGGUCGAGCAGUAACGAAAGUUGGAGUUAGUGAUCCGGUGGUAUGUGAGUGGAAAUGCCAUCGCUCAACGGAUAAAAGCUACCCUGGGGAUAACAGGCUGAUCUCCCCCAAGAGUCCACAUCGACGGGGAGGUUUGGCACCUCGAUGUCGGCUCAUCGCAUCCUGGGGCUGUAUUCGGUCCCAAGGGUUUGGCUGUUCGCCAAUUAAAGCGG
rnacentral:rRNA from 1 species